rnacentral:rRNA from 1 species
CCUACGGGUGGCAGCAGUGGGGAAUAUUGCACAAUGGGGGGAACCCUGAUGCAGCGACGCCGCGUGGGUGAAGGAGUAUUUCGGUAUGUAAAGCCCUAUCAGCAGGGAAGAACAAUGACGGUACCUGACUAAGCAGCACCGGCUAAAUACGUGCCAGCAGCCGCGGUCAUACGUAUGGUGCAAGCGUUAUCCGGAUUUACUGGGUGUAAAGGGAGCGCAGGGGGGGCGUUAGGCCUGGUGGGAAGGCCCGAGGCCCAACCGCGGGACUGCAUUGGGAACUGGCGCGCUGGAGUGCCGGGAGGGUAGGCGGAAUGCCUAGUGUAGCGGUGAAAUGCGUAGAUAUUAGGAGGAACACCAGUGGCGAAGGCGGCCUACUGGACGGUGACUGACGCUGAGGCACGAAAGCGUGGGGAGCAAACAGGAUUAGAUACCCUAGUAGUC